CUGGGUUAGUUCUUUUGUCUCAUCAAUAAUACAGACAUUCAGAGGACACAUUCUCCACGGUGAUGUGCAAAAAAGCAUAUGAAAGGAAAACAGGUACAUUCUCGUUUACUGUUGGCCGUCAAGCCGGAGACACGGACACUUUGUUUUUUUGUUUUUUUUAAGGUUUUUAACUUGUUCCAAACACACAAACAACAACAAGCUCGGGUCAUUGCAUUGAUUUUUAGCGCUUAUAAGAGGAGGAGAGCGGGAAACUUUCCAGCCACGCUGUGAGGAUAAAAGGCUAGUAACAUAUCUUUUAAUCCCUCAAUGGACCAAUUACAUUUGUUUUUCCAGCCAGCUCACACCUGGGGUUGAUUUACUCACCGCAGCUCCUGUCGAUGUAAAUUCAUGUCUAUCCGCUCUGGGGAGAAGGGGUUUACAUGUAUUCUUAUCUAACAUGUACCGUAUUGACUUCCAAUGAGGAAAACUGUGACGCUAGUUUCAUGCUCCGGUGUUUUAAAGUUUUCACUAAUCUGUUAAAAGAGCCUUUUGUUACCCAGUAGACACGGAUUAUUAAAUUUGUAGGUGAAAACGUCGUCUUAAAGGUCAAACUGGAGGAAUGUUUCAGAUAUUUUAGUUACAUUCAGGUGAUUAAUGCUCAUUAUGUUCAUUUUUACACAAUUGAAAGACUUCUGUUUAACUUUGGAAACAAAGUUAGUGAAAUCUUUGAAAAGUUUCUGUGAACUUUGAAAUCCACAGAAGUCCUUUUGGGUUUAUUUAUUGUAAAACGACGAUAACUGAGAUCUGUAGAUUAAAAUAAUUUUAAAUUUUUUUUUGCUGAUAUAUUGAUCGUUUUUUCUUAUUUUGGAGUCCAUGAAGAGAUCGUUUAUAGUCAGCUGAGAGUUCAGUCUUAAUCCACCGGAGAGUACUUUCCAUUUCCUUCACCUCCUAAAAGGGACACUCUGUAGAAAGGAGAAUAUAUGGAAAUAUCUGUCAGUACUGAACUAAUAAAAGUGACAAUCGUAUCAGUUUUUUUGGUCACUUUACUUGCAGCCGUUUCAGGAUUUGAGUUUUUACACCCUUUUACAGAUCAUAGGAUGUUUAUUUUAAGAAUAAGGAGAAUUUAUCACUGUUGACGCUCCACAGCGAUGUUUGGGUGUUUAUUAUUUUUUUCCACCUACAAACUCUUCAAUGUCUACUGGGUACUCAACAUUAUGAGUGUCUCACUUAUAACCAUAGACUGUACAUAGAAUGGAUGCCAUCUGACUCCUCGCUGGGUGAAGCCAGCAUGAGAGCAGCACCCUCUGGUGGCGGGCUGCAGUAUAGGUCAUAAAUCCCGCCUCCUCCAGCAAUCCCCAUGGAGCUGUGGACGAAACUCUUUUUUCUGUACAGCUCCAUUUUUAAAUGUUGUAAGGGGGUUCAUGUUUUCUAUGAUUGACACUUGACACAGCCUAUGGGUGUACGAAGGUUGCGUAGCUCAACUGGGGAGACACUGUUUGAGCCGAGCGUCAUCACAGCUACUCAGGGCUUGACAGUGCGACCAUUUCACUCGCAUUUGUGACUAAAAAUAGA
rnacentral:lncRNA from 1 species